CUUAGGUAGAGUGACAGGAGCAUAUGGGAGCCUCGUUCUGAUUUCGCCGGUACCAUGUGAUUUCACCCAUAUUGAAUUUCGGCAACAUGGCUUCAGAACAAGUGGAACAGAAGGAGGAAAGCCGGCAGGCAGAGGCAGAAGAAAAUGAUCAGCAAGUGGUGCCAAGCCCCGAACUGUUAAUAAAACAUCCAUUACAGAACAGAUGGGCUCUGUGGUUCUUCAAAAAUGAUAAAACGAAAGACUGGGCAUCAAACUUAAAGUUGAUCACAUCUGUAGAGACAGUAGAGGACUUCUGGGGAUUAUAUAACCAUGUACAGAAAGCCAGCAGGCUCCCAUCAGGCUGUGAUUACUCCAUGUUUAAGGAUGGUAUACAGCCAAUGUGGGAGGACACUCAAAACAAGGAGGGCGGCAGAUGGCUUAUUAAUCUCAAUAAACAACAAAGACAUACAGAUCUAGACAAUUUCUGGCUCGAAACGUUAUUAUGUAUGAUAGGGGAAGCAUUUGACGAACAGAGUGAAGAUGUCAAUGGAGCAGUGGUGAACAUCAGAAACAAGGGAGAUAAACUUGCCAUGUGGACGAAAGAUGCCAGGCGAGGCGAUGCCAAUGUCAAAAUAGGAAAAAAGUUAAAAGAAAGGUUGAAUAUACCAGACAGACUAACAAUAGGAUUUCAGGCUCACACAGAUACCAUCUCUAGACAAGGCUCUACAGCCAAGAACCGUUUCUCUGUAUAACCCAAGCUGUUGUCCAUGGGAUUGGAAGAUAACUGGUGUGUAAGGACAGGACUUCGCAAUGUUGGAGGAGUAGGAGGACCUUUCCAUAUUGGCAGUAUGAUGAAGUGAGCUUACUGUACUGUCUACACAAAAUUCCCAGUUACAGAGGACAUCUGUAAUUUAUUGUUCUUCAGAAGGCUGUUAUGGUUACUUAUACUAUGUGCUAACACUGUGCAUACUAAUAUAAUAAGGGUGCACUCACAAAUGUAAAUAUGGCACAUUGUUACGUAAUAGUUUUACUACUGAUUCUUGUAGAUAACUUGUUUAAGACAAAUUCUUUCUGUAUGUCAUUGUGAUGGACUGUAUUUUUCUUGCUUCUCUCAUUAUUGUUUUGUUGUUUUUUUAGCAGAAGACACUAGUUUUUAUAGUGCUAAUGAAGUGCUAUUAUAAUUAUUAGUUUGUUAAAGAGCUCUUUUUGUUGUGAGAGAGACUAAGUGAAGCUCUCUAUACAUUGCUUUCUUGGGUUAUAUAUAACAGGUCAUGGGUGAAAGGUCAUGAUCACAACUGAUUUUCCAUUUUGCAAUAUCUGCUAAUUCUACUUUUGAUUUAUGAGUGUUAUUUUCAGCAGUUGUUCAGAUCUAGAUAUAUAGAUAGUUGAUGUGCUAUCCUGAUUUCAUUGCUAGUGCACUUGCCCUUAAAGUCCAAACAAUGGGCAGUUAUUUGGAGUGUUCCUUGUCAUACAUGUGUAAGUUCACUUAAAGAUGGUUUAUUUUUCUAACCUUCUCAUAAAAGUUUUACUUAGUUGUUAAAACAGUUGAUGCCCAGUGUGACUUGCGGUAUGUUUAUAACUUAAUGUUUGUAAAAAUCAUCUGUAUUCAUAUUCAGUUUCCCAAUUCAUGCAGUACAUGUACGUCUAUGGAGCAAACUGUUCAGUUCUCAAAUUCAAAUUUAUUAUACAGUAUGAUCUGUUAAAACAAAUACUUAUUGACAAGUACUAACUUUGUAAGAGAAAUUGGUGGCAGAAAACUUUGUUUCGAUUCAAUUCAGAGCAGUUGAAGUGGGGUUAAACAGGCCAGGUUUUCGAACCUUUCCUUUUUGUAAGGCCUAUGGUACAAGGUAUAGCGAACCGCACGAAUGUGGCUCAGCUGAUCUAACGAUGCAUUGAUGUACUGCGGAGACAGAGCCACACUUUCUCGCAACACAGAAGAUGUCCCACAGAUCUGUGAGCAUCGGCAGCAGAACAUUAGGUUUUUAACGAUGUUAUUUUGUCCUAACCUGCAUAAAACUGGUUUCUGUGAAGACACAACAUGCAAAGGGAUGCUUCGAAACAAACACACACUGUCCCUACUCUAAUAUGUAUGGCAAAAUGAAACAAUUUCAGCCCACAAAUUGCCUCCACUUCAAUGGGUUUGUCGUAAUUUUUGGCUGCCUUACUCAUUGUCAGGUAAACUAGGAUUCUGGUUGGAAAUGUAAUCUGUCGAGCUAUAAAACCACAGUGGUUCACAGUGUCACAUGACCUGAAAUUGGUUACUGUGAGAGUCCGAGCAUGGUAGAAAUAUGUACUGAAGUGAAGACAUUUGGUCAAAUCUCCAAGGAUUUACUCUACCCACUGAUCUGAAAAAUAAAACUGAAGCUACUGUUGUAUGCAGACAUGAUACAUACGUUCAUCGAUGCAUAAAUCUACAAGGUCAGGUUUAAUACUUAAGAUUUAAUGCUGCUGUUAAGGUAGAACAGAGAGCUCAUCUGGGAUCAUUGGAGGAGUGCGUGAAGCUAACCUAUCAGUUCAGUACAGUACAUUGUUAAAUCUGCUGUCCACUUCACUAUAGGUAUAGCAUGGUACACAGGUAGGGGCAAUCUACUAAUUUGAUGCAAGGGCCUACUAUUGGAAAAUUGAUUCCAAUGAAAAUUAGUCUCCAAUGAAAAUUAGGUAAUUAAAUCUGACACUGGCUGGCACAUUUCUUCAGCAUUAAUAAACUUCAGUUUUAAAAUAUAUUUAAUCUUAGCUGUUCUCUGUUUUAGUUAAAUCACGAUAAUAACUUAGAUGUUAUUAAUUGUAUUUGGCAGUAAGCAUUUUCUCUUUUUUUUUGAAACCUAAACGGAUACCUGACAUUUGACAAUUUUAAAUGUGCCUGCCAUUUAUGUCUGGAGAACUGAGAUGAAGUCCACAGAAUACCAGUAGUUGUAAAUGUCUGGGAAGACUUUCUGUGGCAGUAAGACAUUUUCAUUGUUAUUUAUUGUGCUAAGUUGAUGUGAUUAGUAAUUUGAUCUUGCAUGGCCUUUUGGAACAGUAUUGUUGUGAAUUAUGUGAAAAGAAGUUAAAUUUUUUCUUGUGUUAGUUUCCCCAAGUUUUUUCUCAUUUUCACCGGAAACUUCAAUGUAAAAUGUUUUUUUUUUUUUGGGGGGAUGAGAAUUUGGUAUGUUUUGUGUGGAAAAUUGUAAACUUGACUCAAGAUUUUGCUGCAUUCUUCAACAAUUUUAAGUUAAUGUUCUUAAUUUUGAUUGAUAAAUGUUGAUGUACACACGCAGUUUAUAUCAAAAUACUUAGCUUUUCUGAUUACUGGGUACCUUUACAAUGCACUGCUGCAGUACAGAAAAAAAAAACGACUAAAGACCACACUAACUGCAAUGGUGUAAGAAUGAAGUACUGAGACUAUGGCUGAAAAUAUGGGGUUAAUCGACUUCAGAUUUAAUUUAAAGGUUAGCAUCAUGCACCUGACCCUAGGAUCGUGGAUCUGCCCUAGACGCAAGUCCUUCUUAUCAAAACAGUUUACUGCACUGAACUUGUGACUUGAUGUAAGAAUUUUUGUUUUAAUACUUAGUUAUUGUGACUUUCAUGACAAAAAUGAAAAUAACAGUUUGAUUUAUGAUCAAUUAGAUGUUUAGGAAUGAUAUGAUAAGCUGACCAGUUAAGUCCAUCUAAAGUUACUGCUUUGUGAUCCUGGGGCCAGUGAUGUUAGGCAGACCUGAAAAUAUGUUGACAUUAUCUGGUUUAGGGUGAAGCCAAAAAAAAAAAAAAAAAAGCUUCCAGAUUUGAUGUUCAUUUCGGCAUGAAGUAUUUCACCUAUAUUCAUGCGAUGUGAAGCCAAGCAUAGAUAAGGUGUCACAUGAUCAAUUAUCUGCUUUAUGGUCAGAUGAAAAAAUCUAGUUUAUUAUGGCAGAAAGCAACCUACAUUAUAUCAGAUAGGUAAAUCCCACCUUGACAGUGCAUGCAGUUUACUUUAAAGAUAAAAGGGAAUUCUGUUUCUCUUAGAUGCUUUCCAAAUGUAAGGCACUUAGUAUUCUGCAGUUCCUAGAAACCUGUAUCUUAUCAUAAUCAUAAAAAAUAUAUUUGGCCAACAUUAAGUAGUAGUCCUUCCAGUUCCCAAGGUAAUGGAGCCAGUCGUUUCUCUGGUUGCCUCCACCCUUGUAAUUUAACGUGUUCAAUAAAUGCUACUUAAUUUGGCUAUAAGGGGAGAUUUUCAGCCAAAAUCUGCAUUCGCUAAUAAAAUAGUUUUCUGCAUUUACCAAGAACAGCUAAAAUUUUUGUUUUUUAGUAAUUAUCAGUCCUGUACCUGUAGUAUUUAUAGGGUUAAAAUGGUUCUGAAGUUUGAAGAAGUUACUUUAAAAAUGUGACCCGCAUGUAGAAAUUUCAUUUACGAUUUUGGUAUCUUGUGAGUGGUAAUUUUUGGGGGCUGUUCUAAAAUAACAAAGUUGGAUUGUAUUUGCAUUGAUAAAUUUUUGGGCCAAAAAUCUCCAUUAUGUCAAUAUCAAGUAAAUAUGAACAAGUUUAAGACAUCCAGGACAUUGUGCAUGUCUUUUCAAACUCGUAGAAUAUUGGAAUCUUUGCUUGUUAUAUAUACUGAAAGUUUGGUCAUUCUUCAGCUGAUCUGAAAGGCAAUGCAUUAUGACAUAAUUUUGGCUUUAAAAGUUUACCUUUGUUCAAGAAUACCAUAAUGGCAAGAUACAUGUUUUUAGGGAAAUGUACUUCUAGAGUUAUUCAGUCAAACUGUAUAUUAUGUAAAUGUCUCUUGAUGAUGGCCUAGUGUAAAGAAUGUCCAAUAUAAUAAACUGAUAAGCAUGUACCCUUGGUGGGUGGGGAUGGUAGAGAGAUACUUCCGUGAUGUAGGCAGUAGUUCUGGCUUACUCCAGGAGACAUGUACAGUUGUGCUGCUCAUGUAAUACAAUUGGAGCAGUAGUUCUAGGCUCAUUGUAUAAAGUCUAUUGAUAAAGUGGAUUUGAUAAUAAACCAAUUGUAUUUAACUUGAAUUGUGCUCAGUUGUCAGUCCUUGCAUCUCUUCAAUUUUGCUUUCAGAAAAGCCUUUUCAUUAAAUAAGUUGUGGUUUAUUUGGAAUUAGACAUGUUUAUCAGGGCCUGUUUUCACGAAGCACUCUUAACUAGUACCAUGGCAACCAGUACUGAAGGCAUUACGUCAUCAUGGAAGUUGUGAGCUGUAACGUUUAAUAGUG